GGGUUUAAAUGAAAGGGGGGGAGGACGGAGAACUAGGAUGGGCUAAAUUGGACGAAAGAUUCGAAAAGGCGAGGUAGAAGGGGCUUUAAAUUCGCAUUUCUACGCGGAGACGUAAUGAAAAAAACUGGAAAAUGAAACAUUUUAGUACCAAAGUGGCACAAAGAAAUCAAACGAGAUUCUGCCAGUAGCGGUGAGCGAAAGUGGAAUAGUUCAAUGGUCUGUUAGAGGGUGAGUAAAUAGUGGAAGAGAGGUGUUCACAUAUCUAAGACUAAAUGUUAGUUCCAUACCGAAAGAGAGAGAGUACUGUAAAGGAAAGUUGAAAGAGGCUUGAAAAAAUCUUGAAAUCAGUUCUUUAAAGCAGCUGUAAUACAGUGUACCUUUUGUAUAAUGGGUUUAUAAGACAUAGUUUGGCAAAUUUAAGUUUGGACCCCCAAAGGUAUCAGACAGCAUUUUGGUUGCUGUGCCGGUAGAGGUGAAGAGAAUGGAGGUAAAGAGAAAUCGAGGGGGCUCUCUUUAGUCAAAUAGCCCGAAACUAAGUGAUCUAACCAUGGGCAGUUUUAAGGAACGAACUGGUGGUUGUAGCAAAAACCUCGGAGGACCUAUGGUUGGGGGUGAAACACUAAUCGAACUUGGAGAUAGCUGGUUUUCUGCGAAAACUAUUGAAGUAGUGCGUCCAUAACUGGGGGUUGGAGUUAAAAGAGUUUUUAUGGUAAAAUUUGAUCGCUCGAAAGGGGGGAGAGACUAUGAAUGUAAAAAUCGAAGUGGACAGGCAGACAGUGGGCGAGAAAGUGUAUUGUCAAAAGGGGGAGCCUAAUCAGAAGUUAAAGUCAUAAAUUGAUUGGAGAGCUUUCCAAAUAGUUAAGUGUAAAAGGAGUAUGGGAUUUAAACAAUGAGGAGGUAGGCUUGGGGCCAGCCAUCUUUGAAAGAGGGCGUAGUAGUUCACUCGAGAAUUUUUUUUUCCUUAAAAUUAGGGUGGCUAAAAUUGAACUGAAAUUUUGAGGGCAAAAUUUGUUUGGUAGUAGAAUGGACUGUUGGAUGGUUUAGUGAGAGCCCAAGCAUCAGAAGAGAUAAUGUGAAUAUGAGUAAAUAAUUGUUGAACUACUUCUCCAGGUUACCAAGCCCCGAGUUGUAUUAUGAUAGUGUUCUUAGGGGGAUUUGGGUAAUACAGCCUUUAAGGCGGCGGCCGAAGGUCGCUUCGAUGGGAGAUAAUAAUAAACGCACAAAGUGUCAGGAAAGAAUUAUAAAAAGUGGGUACUGUCGUAGACUAACACAAGUGGGAGAUAGUGGAGGGGAAAGUUUUUUUAAGGAACUCGGCCAAUUUUUUGGCUUCCAUUAGGGAGUCUCUACAACAUAAGGCCUCGACUGUUUACCAAAAACAUAGCUCUUUGCUAAUAUAAAAGUAGAAGUAUGGAGGGUGAAACCUGCCCAAUGGUUUUAUUUGAAGGGGUCGAUAGGGUCGAUUCUAUAAAGACAAUUUAAUGGCUGCGGUAACAGUGACCGUGAUAAUGUAGCGUAAUCAAUUGUCAAUUAAUUGUUGGCCAGUAUGAAUGGUGUCACGAAGGUCUCACUGUCUUAAGAAAAUCUCCUGUGAAAUUGAAUUUGUAGUGAAGAUGCUACAUUCAAAUUGUUAGACGAUAAGUCCCCAUGGAACUUUACUGGAGAUUUAUCUGGCCUAUCUGACAAAUAAAUUGUUUAGAUUAUGUGGUGUUAAUAGAUUUAAGUGAAAAAAUAUAUGUGUGUUCAAGUUUUAGUUAGUAAAACUCACUUUUUUAUUUUUAGAGGGUUAACUCUUCUUUCGAAUUAAGUUAGAGAAAUGAGGUAAAUUAAACAGUUUGGUUGGGGCGAUCGCCUUUUAAAAAGUAACGAGGGUGGGCUUAAGAUACAUAUUUAAUAGUUGUCGUCUGACUGUGAAGGGGGGGCCCUGAGCAGACACUAAAAAGAGCCUUGUGCGGGUAAUAGUGGGUUGCAGUGACCCGUUGAUUUAAGGUGAAAUAGUUAACGAUAAACAAAUAAAAGUUACCCUGGGGAUAACAGAGCCAUAACGUUUGAGGGACUUUCUUGAUGACGUUGUUUGCGACCUCGAUGUUGAAUUGCGGCAUCCUGGGGUGCAGUCGCUCCCAAGGGUGGGUCUGUUCGUCUAUUAAAGCCGUACAUGAUUUGAGUUAAAAGCGUGGUAACACAGCUUGGUUUCUAUCUACAAUUUGAAGAAACAUUAAUAUAACUGUUUUCUAGUACGAAAGGAUCGAAAAAUUAGUGGUUUUCUUAUUUUUAUAAGUUAUGAUCAAUCUAUUGGCCUGGCUAAUUUUUGAAGGUGUAUUUUUGUUAAUCGCUGAUGGCUUCUAAAGUGUGAAAAUUAUAUUAAGUUGUUUGAAGUCCUGUAGAGGAGUUGGCCCC
rnacentral:rRNA from 1 species